GCCCCAGGCAGGAGCAGGGGAGUGGGUGCUAGACGCCCUCAGGCUGCCUUCAUCAAGACCCCUGACGCCAGCCUGCAGAGAGAAGGGGCAGCUCAGUUUCCUAUGACAGGGUCACAGUGCAGUCACUCCCCCUAGAACCACCAGGGAGCUCUACGACUGCCCAGGCCUCACCCGAGACCAGCUUCAUCACACUCUGGGGUACAGUCCUCCCCGCCUCCCACCUCUCACUGUCCAGGCGUCAGGAGUUCGUAAACCCUCUCAGGUCUCCUGUAUAAACUCCCCAGUGGCCUCUAGUCAACAUCUUCCAGAGAUGUCUCAUCUCCACAAGCCACCAUUUUCACCCAUGUGGCAGUCCUUUCUGGCUAGCAACAUGCUUUGACAUGCGGCUGGACCCUGCCUUGAGAAUGCCUUGCUCCCCUGGCCCCGGGUCUGCACUCCGGAGAUUGACACAGAAUAAACUACCCCCACCCAACUCUUCAGCUACCAAACUCGUCUGGAUCCCUGCCUCUCGGGGUGAAAGAGCAUGGUUCCUUUUCCUCCCCCUCCUUCCUGGCUGUCCUCAUCUGAAUAUGCUAGACCGGCCACAUCCCUUCAUCAUGUGAUACCCAGAAUUUAGCCUAAUUUUAAAAUAUAUAGAAAAAUAACACAUAUUCAUCAUAAAAAUAUGUUGAUCAAACAUAAAACAGAAGUGCCCUCACCCAUUCCA